rnacentral:rRNA from 1 species
AACGAACGCUGGCGGCAUGCCUAACACAUGCAAGUCGAACGAGACCUUCGGUCUAGUGGCGCACGGGUGCGUAACGCGUGGGAAUCUGCCCUUGGGUUCGGAAUAACAGUUAGAAAUGACUGCUAAUACCGGAUGAUGACUUCGGUCCAAAGAUUUAUCGCCCAAGGAUGAGCCCGCGUAGGAUUAGCUAGUUGGUGAGGUAAAAGCUCACCAAGGCGACGAUCCUUAGCUGGUCUGAGAGGAUGAUCAGCCACACUGGGACUGAGACACGGCCCAGACUCCUACGGGAGGCAGCAGUGGGGAAUAUUGGACAAUGGGACGAAAGCCUAGAUCCAGCAAUGCCGCGUGAGUGAUG